UGCAUUCUAGAGAUAGGAAGUUCCUUCGGGACACGGGAUACAGGUGGUGCAUGGUUGUCGUCAGCUCGUGUCGUGAGAUGUUGGGUUAAGUCCCGCAACGAGCGCAACCCCUAUUGUUAGUUGCCAUCAUUAAGUUGGGCACUCUAACGAGACUGCCGGUGAUAAACCGGAGGAAGGUGGGGAUGACGUCAAAUCAUCAUGCCCCUUAUGACCUGGGCUACACACGUGCUACAAUGGAUGGUACAACGAGUCGCGAGACAGUGAUGUUUAGCUAAUCUCUUAAAACCAUUCUCAGUUCGGAUUGUAGGCUGCAACUCGCCUACAUGAAGUCGGAAUCGCUAGUAAUCGCGGAUCAGCACGCCGCGGUGAAUACGUUCCCGGGCCUUGUAACACACCGA
rnacentral:rRNA from 1 species